rnacentral:rRNA from 1 species
UACAGAGGUCUCAAGCGUUGUUCGGAUUCAUUGGGCGUAAAGGGUGCGUAGGCGGCGCGGUAAGUCGGGUGUGAAAUCUCGGGGCUUAACUCCGAAACUGCAUUCGAUACUGCCGUGCUUGAGGACUGGAGAGGAGACUGGAAUUUACGGUGUAGCGGUGAAAUGCGUAGAGAUCGGGAGGAACACCAGUGGCGAAGGCGACUACCUGGACCAGCACUGACGCUCAUGCACGAAAGCGUGGGGAGCAGACAGG